rnacentral:lncRNA from 1 species
GCAUGUUGAGAUAAAUCUCUAGUGGGGUUUAGCUUUAUAAGAGUACUAGGAGCAUACCCCGCGCGUUGCUGCGGGAAUCGCGAAUUAAUGGAUUGUGUAGUACGAUGAUGUAGACUAUACUUAUUUGUCUUGCUGGCAUGGACACUACAGUUGUCAUAUGUGCUAUUGGAUUUUAAUUGUAUAUAUGUGGUAGCACAUUGCAUGUUGAGAUAAAUAGUUAUUGAGGUUUUACUUAGUGGAUUUUAACUCAAUAUGGUAGUGCAUUGCUUAGGUGGAUAGCUUGCAUGCUUACAGAAAUAUUUAGUGGGGUUUAGGAUUAUAAGAGUUAUAGAUAGAUAAGAUUAAUAAUGUGUGUUGAAUUUAUUGAAACCCGCUGGCCUUUAGAUCAGGUGAAUAUAAAUUUAAUGCAUUUAUAAAAAUAACUUGUUAAGAACGCAUGCCUUUAGACCAGUCUUAGUAAGUUAUUAUAUUUAAUAGAUGAAAAUAAUAAAUACGUGUAAGCUAUCUUUUCUCGUAUAAACCUCCUAUCGACUAAUUAGUCGAUCUAGUUGUUCUCGCUCAUAGUACGAUCAUACAAUUUGCUUUGAAGAAUACUUAAAUAAAUUAAUUUAUGAUACAUCAUUAUGAUAGAUUAACGAGUAAUAAAUAUCAUAAUUAUCUUGUCAUUAUCUCAUUUUUGUUAGGAGUUGAUUUUUUAGUCAAUUUCUUCUGAUCAAUGGCUAUUUUAAGCCAUAUUUUUUUGAACUAUCUGGCAGCAACCAACAGCUUCCAUAAUUUGACAUUUACUUUUAUCCUUGUCAAUUGCAUGUCAAAUUAACUAGCACGCUAUAGACCCAAGUCACCAGACUCGGCUCGUGUGUUGAGGCUCAGAAGAUUAAGAACUCUAGCUUCUGGACGGUCUCUAAGUGCCUUCGGGUUACAUGAAGACCAUUUUUUGUGCUAACAAUAUGUAUGUCUUGAGAAUUGAUAUGAAGUCUUUGUAUGUCGCUAGUUCAAAAUCUGCUGAAUCAUAGACCCAUGCCAUGCUUAGUUCAACCGUGACACCUAUACAAAUCCAGUGGUUGAUGCAUGAAUUUAAUCAUAGAAGAAACAUAUAAGCUUUUGUGCAUCAAACAAAGUUGAACUUUAUGUUGGAGAUUUUUUAAAGCUAGGGCAAUGCAUGCUGCAACCUUAAUGGCCUCUUUCCUUAUUUGCUUCUCUCAGAUAGCCUCUUUCUCCACAACUGUCUUUCCAGCGGCUAGUUCUUUGUAAUCUAGUUUCCACUGCUUGGGGUAAUUAAAAUUUGUUGCUAUAGUCCAUCUUAGAGAAAUAAAACAACCAAAGAAAAUAUAUUAAAGAAUUCAAAUUAAUAAUUAAUUACUCGAGAAAAAUUGUAUAUACUUCAAAUACACACCAUGGUAGAAGAUAAUUAACUAAUUAUCUAUUAGUGCAUAAAUAUUUUUAAAUAUAUAUUAAUUGGUUAAAAUAAAUAAUUUCAAAGACAACAAUUAAUAACAAUUAAUAAUUAAUUCACUACCUUUCAUGCCGACUUCAUUCCAAUUUUAGAAACAUAAAUUACAAAGUAAAAAACAAACCCUAGAUCUAGAACUAGAUCUACAUGAAACUAGGGUGUAAUCCUCCACUAAAAUCAAGGAAAAUCGACCAAUAAAGGGUGUAACCUCAUUUCUAUAACUAAUCUACACUAAUAGCUUGAAAACUAGGGUCUAGUUUGCUUCAUACAAAGCUCAAGCACCAUGAAAGAGAGAAAAACAAAACUCUAAUUACUCACUAGCAAAAUUGACUAAUAAAUGAUAGAGCUUGAUUUUAGAAAAAAAAAUAAAAAAGAAUCCUCACAUUUGGAGUUACUAUGAGGCAGAAAAACUAGUUGCAAGUUUUAGCUAUAGAUUAAAAAAUCACACUUAUUCUUCAGUGAUUAAUUGUCUAAUUAAUGUUAGAGGAUAAUUAAUUAAUUGACUAUUAUACAUAAAUAUUUAAACAAGAAUAUAUAUAUUAAAUGGAAAAUAUAUACAAUUUCAAAGAGAACAGUUAGCAACAAUUAUUAUUUUACCCACUACCUUUCAUGCCAACUCUAUUCCAAUUUCAUGAAACAUAAAUUAUAAAAUAAAAAACAAACCUUAGAUCUAGAACUAGACGAAACGUACAUGAAAAUAAGGUGUAAUCUUCACUAAAAUCAAAUAAGAUGGACUAAGAAAGGGUGCAGGCUUAUAUCUCUAACUAAUUUACACUAAGAGCUUCGAAACUAGAGUCUAAUUUGCUACAUACAAAGCUCAAGCAUUAUGAAAGAGAGAGAAAAGCAAAACUCAAAUUACUCACUAACCAACCAUUAAAACUUCAAUUAAAGGCUUGGAAUACAAAGCUCAACCAUAAACGCAAAUAACGGCAUAAUUUUUUCAAGCUAUUUCGAACUAUAGCGGCAAAAAUAGCGGGCUAUUUUUUCCAUGCUAGACACCCCUGUUGUGCCAUGUGUAGGGCCAGUUGAUCUACUGAGGCCUGAGGACGCCCAUGGCAGGGGCGCCUCCAACCCGAGCAGCCCUUAAAGAAAAAUGACCUUGUUCCUAUAAAUUAUUUUUCACGUAGUGGUAGAAUCUGUUUCUAACAAAAACCUGUAUGUGCAAGUUUCAUGGGAACUAUUUUGGCACUGGGACAAUUUCGAUAGGAAAAUGCCGGUCUAGGUUGGCCGCUUGGCCCUUGUCCACGCAUGCACGGAAAUAUCAAAAGCAAGCAGGCAUGACCGCAUGAGGGUGUGUCCAAUCGUACAGCUUGCGCGCGGGCACUAGUCUAGUGUUAAGACUCGGAGUACAGGUGUCAGUCCAUGCAUAAUUGUGUGUUUGUGUUUGGCACGCGUUAAAAUAUUUCUGGCGUAGCAGUCUAGCACUAGGAGUGAUCAUGAUUAGUCCGUUGUUGUCGUACGGCUGCGGCAUAGUUAAUUAGUGGGUGGAACAAAUUAUUCCCAACUCCCAACGGUAGGGUAUCGUACAGCAAUGACCAUUAAAGGUAUCGAUGAGUCUCUGUCUAUGGUCGGCUCUCCCCACACAUGCCGGGGUAGUACAUCUGUGAGGCACGGCACGGCUGUACAGAAAAUGGCAGUCCUUUUUUUUUGGGAGUGGGGUUGUUCUUGUUCACGAAGGGAAAUCGUCGAUCAAUGGGUGAUACUGCCAGUG